rnacentral:rRNA from 1 species
AUUGAACGCUGGCGGCAGGCCUAACACAUGCAAGUCGAGCGGAGCGGCGGACGGGUGAGUAAUGCCUAGGAAUCUGCCUGGUAGUGGGGGAUAACGUCCGGAAACGGGCGCUAAUACCGCAUACUAUCAGAUGAGCCUAGGUCGGAUUAGCUAGUUGGUGGGGUAAAGGCCUACCAAGGCGACGAUCCGUAACUGGUCUGAGAGGAUGGUCAGUCACAUUGGAACUGAGCAACGCCCCAGACUCCUACGGGGUGCAGCAGAGGGAAAUCUUGGCCAAUGGUCUAAAGCCUGAUCCAGCCAUGCCGGGUGUGUGAAGAAUGUCUUCGGAUUGUAAAGCACUUUAAGUAGGGAAGCGUUACCAACAGAAUAAGCACCGGCUAACUCCGUGCCAGCAGCCGCGGUGAUUC